rnacentral:rRNA from 1 species
CCUACGGGAGGCAGCAGUGGGGAAUAUUGCACAAUGGGCGCAAGCCUGAUGCAGCGACGCCGCGUGAGGGAUGACGGCCUUCGGGUUGUAAACCUCUUUCAGUAGGGAAGAAGCGAAAGUGACGGUACCUGCAGAAGAAGCGCCGGCUAACUACGUGCCAGCAGCCGCGGUAAUACGUAGGGCGCAAGCGUUAUCCGGAAUUAUUGGGCGUAAAGAGCUCGUAGGCGGUUUGUCGCGUCUGCCGUGAAAGUCCGGGGCUCAACUCCGGAUCUGCGGUGGGUACGGGCAGACUAGAGUGAUGUAGGGGAGACUGGAAUUCCUGGUGUAGCGGUGAAAUGCGCAGAUAUCAGGAGGAACACCGAUGGCGAAGGCAGGUCUCUGGGCAUUAACUGACGCUGAGGAGCGAAAGCAUGGGGAGCGAACAGGAUUAGAUACCCUGGUAGUCCAUGCCGUAAACGUUGGGCACUAGGUGUGGGGGACAUUCCACGUUUUCCGCGCCGUAGCUAACGCAUUAAGUGCCCGCCUGGGGAGUCGGCCGCAAGGCUAAACUCAAAUGAAUUGAGNGNGNGAGNGCGAGCGACGACGAGGGAGGAGG